rnacentral:lncRNA from 1 species
CAGCCGCUCGCACGGAGGUCCCGCAGACCAGAUGCAUCACGUAUUCCCGCAUGACGUUUUAAAUUGUUUUUAACCAAUUACCAACAUUUUAGUCUCUUCCCACAAAAUCAGGCUUCCCAAUUUCUGUAGAAGGAUUGGAAGAUAUGGCAAUGAUUGGCUCGAGCUGUGGCACAGCUGCGCCUUUAAAUAAUGCUUAUGGCUUCAGCGACUGCAGGCUGUACUUGACCAACGUGAAAUGGUUAAGAAAUGUGGCUUUGGAAUUGAAUAGCUCCAAAUAGAAAUCCAGGUCUGCAACAUAGUAGCUGUGUGACCUUGGGGAAGUUACUUAACCUCUCUGAGCUUCAGUUUCCACGUCUAUAAAAUGAGGAUUCAAACUAUCUACCCCACAGGGUGAUGUGAGGAUUGGAUAAGAUUGUGCUCUAAGAGGUCUUGGCACACAUAAGUGCGUAAUAAAGGUGCCUAUUUAUGCUUCACUGAUUCGGAGUGUCUCUGAAUCCUCUCUGGAUUUUCCUUUAUUCCUGGAAAAUAUAAGAAAUAGCUGGCACUUGAGCUUUUACAGCACAAUAAAGGCUUCUGUUCUGUCUUUUACAGAUGCAAACUGAUAAGCCUUUCAUUUUAUGGAAAUCCUAAGAACAGAUGUGAAUCCAUUCUGCAAACCAAGUCAAACUUCUGGAAAAAUCUGAAAACAAUGAUGGCCAACAUUUUCCCUGCCCUCACACCAUCAUGCCAAUGGAGUCCGAUGGAGAACAUCUCUGCACCUCGCAGCCGGUCUCCAGCGAGGGAGCUGGGGGACUGCUGUGAUGGUUGCCUCAGGACGCGGUGGUGACCUGAGCACAGUUCGGAGGCUGAUUCUCCAGCUGGGAUUCUGACGUGAACUGAUUUAGGGCCGGUGGUGGUGGUGGCAGACAACUUGCCCCAUUGGUAAACUCUGCCAUUAAAUGUUGUCUGGUCAUCUCCUUACAUUUGGCUCAUUCAUUCAUUUAAAACAGUUUUAUUGAGUUUUAUUUAUCUGGCGGGAGAGACAGAGAUACAGAUAAACAGGUGUCCUCCAACAUCAUGCUCACUGAAGUGUUGCCAUAUGUGAGUUCGACGUCUUGAAUGGGGAGGAAGAUGGGGCUAAUUCCGCCUGGGGGACGAGCCAGCAAGACCUCACAGAGGAAGUGACCUCUGAGCCGAGCCCUUGGCGGAGGUAGAGGAGCUCACCAGGUUCAGGAGGGAACCAUGAAUUGAGGGAUAGGAGUCUCC